ACCNUAAAUGCUUKGGAAAUCAUUCUGGUUGUCGGGUCUUCGACCGACGUUACGGCGAACGAUCGCCGACGGCCUCUGGCCUGUAUGGGAACUUCCCAGUACAGCGCAGAGCGCGUUCGCCGGUUCGUCCGGCGCGCCCACGCAGCGCUGCACGAAGUGCAGAACAAGCGUGAGUGAAAACCCGAAUGGUUUCCAAGCAUUGUUAUAAGGU
rnacentral:rRNA from 1 species